UCAACGCGAAGAACCUUACCAGGUCUUGACAUCCCUUGCUAAUCCUAGAAAUAGGACGUUCCCUUCGGGGACAAGGUGACAGGUGGUGCAUGGUUGUCGUCAGCUCGUGUCGUGAGAUGUUGGGUUAAGUCCCGCAACGAGCGCAACCCUUAUUAUUAGUUGCCAGCAUUUAGUUGGGCACUCUAGUGAGACUGCCGGUGACAAACCGGAGGAAGGUGGGGAUGACGUCAAAUCAUCAUGCCCCUUAUGACCUGGGCUACACACGUGCUACAAUGGCAUAUACAACGAGUCGCCAACCCGCGAGGGUGCGCUAAUCUCUUAAAGUAUGUCUCAGUUCGGAUUGUAGGCUGCAACUCGCCUACAUGAAGUCGGAAUCGCUAGUAAUCGCGGAUCAGCACGCCGCGGUGAAUACGUUCCCGGGUCUUGUACACACCGA
rnacentral:rRNA from 1 species